rnacentral:rRNA from 1 species
ACGGGGUGCAGCAGGCGCGAAAACUUUGCAAUGUGCGAAAGCACGACAAGGUUAAUCCGAGUGAUUUCUGCUAAAGGAAUCUUUUGCAAGUUCUAAAAAUACUAGUGAAUAAGGGGUGGGCAAGUUCUGGUGUCAGCCGCCGCGGUAAAACCAGCACCUCAAGUGGUCAGGAGGAUUAUUGGGCCUAAAGCAUCCGUAGCCUGCUCUGUAAAUUUUCGGUUAAAUCUAUAUGCUCAACGUAUAGGCCGCCGAAAAUACUGCAGUGCUAGGAAGUGGGAGAGGUAGACGGUACUUGGUAGGAAGGGGUAAAAUCCUUUGAUCUAUCGAUGACCACCUGUGGCGAAGGCGGUCUACCAGAACACGUUCGACGGUGAGGGAUGAAAGCUGGGGGAGCAAACCGGAUUAGAUACCCGGGUAGUCCCAGCUGUAAACGAUGCAGACUCGAUGAUGCAUUGGCAUAUAGCCAGUGCAGUGUCGCAGGGAAGCCGUUAAGUCUGCCGCCUGGGAAGUACGUACGCAAGUAUGAAACUUAAAGGAAUUGGCGGGGGAGCACCACAAGGGGUGAAGCCUGCGGUUCAAUUGGAGUCAACGCCGGG